GUCUGAACUGUUCAUUCACUCACACUGAAAACUGCAUCAGGAUGAUGUUUCUAACAACUCUGAUUGUCAUGUUUGGGUUUCUGAUUCAGGAGUCAUUUGCCAACAAUUUUCUGACUCAGACUGAUAAAACCAAGUCUGUCAGUCUUGGAGGGACUGUGACCAUCAGCGCCACAGGGAGUUCAAAUAUUGGUGCUGAUCUCAGUUGGUACCUUCAGAAACCUGGACAACCUCCCAAACUUCUUACAUACAGAGUUUCAAAUCGCUUCUCAGGAACUCCGUCUCGAUUCAGUGGCAGUAGAUCUGGUUCUCAGUACACUUUAACCAUCAGUGGUGUUCAGGCUGAAGAUGCUGGAGAUUAUUACUGUCUAGGCUUCCAUGGCAGUGGAGUGUUCACACAGUGAUAUAUAG